UACGUAGGGGGCGAGCGUUGUCCGGAGUUACUGGGCGUAAAGGGUCCGCAGGCGGUUCGGCGCGUUUCCGGUGCCAGCCCAUGGCUUAACUGUGGGAGUGCCGGGAAGACGGUCGGACUCGAGGGCCGCAGAGGGACAUAGAAUUCCGGGUGGAGUGGUGAAAUGCGUAGAGAUCCGGAGGAACACCGACGGCGUAGGCAGCGCCCUGGCCGUUUCCUGACGCUGAUGCACGAAAGCUGGGGGAGCAAACAGG
rnacentral:rRNA from 1 species